ACACUAUCAAGCUCAAGUGACUCGCCCACCCCAGGCUUAAUCCCACAGAUUAUGUCGCCCACAAGAACCUGAACAGCUCCACACUUAGUUAUUUUCUGUUUACCCUUGUCAACCUUAUUAGGAACAGCCUUCACAAAACAUGGACAGCCCGUGUCCCAAAUCAUAACACCACCAAGGUGCAUCAUGACAGCAGUAUUGGUCUUUACCAUAAAAUCAAUACCAAGAAUGCAGUCAAAAUCAUCUAAGACAACAACAUGAAAGUUGAACAUACCUUUCCAAUCCCCAAUUGUCAAGUCCACACUUGAACAGCCCCGAAUCCUUUGCAACUCAGAAUUAGCCGUCUUAAUCUGAUUUGUACUCGGCGCCAAACUCAACCCCAGCUCAUUUGCACAGUCUGUCG
rnacentral:lncRNA from 1 species